AUACGGAGGGUGCAAGCGUUAUCCGGAAUCAUUGGGUUUAAAGGGUCCGCAGGCGGAUUAAUAAGUCAGUGGUGAGAUCCUCUCGCUCAACGAGAGAACUGCCAUUGAAACUGUUAGUCUUGAAUUCGGUCGAAGUAGGCGGAAUGUGUCAUGUAGCGGUGAAAUGCAUAGAUAUGACACAGAACACCGAUAGCGAAGGCAGCUUACUAGACCUGGAUUGACGCUCAUGGACGAAAGCGUGGGGAGCGAACAGGAUUAGAAACCCCAGUAGUCC
rnacentral:rRNA from 1 species